UACGGAGGGUGCAAGCGUUAUCCGGAUUCACUGGGUUUAAAGGGUGCGUAGGUGGGCUGGUAAGUCAGUGGUGAAAUCUCCAGGCUUAACUUGGAAACUGCCAUUGAUACUAUCAGUCUUGAAUACCGUGGAGGUCAGCGGAAUAUGUCAUGUAGCGGUGAAAUGCUUAGAUAUGACAUAGAACACCAAUUGCGAAGACAGCUGGCUACACGAAUAUUGACACUGAUGCACGAAAGCGUGGGGAUCAAACAGG
rnacentral:rRNA from 1 species